GUUUGAUCAUGGCUCAGGACGAACGCUGGCGGCGUGCUUAACACAUGCAAGUCGCACGGGACCCGCAAGGGUUCAGUGGCGAACGGGUGCGUAACACGUGAGGAACUUGCCCAUCGGCGGGGGAUAGCCGGCCCAACGGCCGGGUAAUACCGCGUACGACCUUCGGGGGGCAUCCCCUGGAGGUGAAAGCAGCAAUGCACCGAUGGAGAGCCUCGCGGCCUAUCAGCUAGUUGGUGAGGUAAUGGCUCACCAAGGCGACGACGGGUAGCUGGUCUGAGAGGAUGAUCAGCCACAUUGGGACUGAGACACGGCCCAGACUCCUACGGGAGGCAGCAGUGGGGAAUCUUGCGCAAUGGGCGAAAGCCUGACGCAGCGACGCCGCGUGCGGGAUGACGGCCUUCGGGUUGUAAACCGCUGUCGGGAGGGACGAAGCUCUGACGGUACCUUCAAAGGAAGCACCGGCUAACUCUGUGCCAGCAGCCGCGGUAAUACAGAGGGUGCGAGCGUUGUCCGGAACCACUGGGCGUAAAGGGCGCGUAGGCGGCCCGGUAAGUCGGAGGUGAAACGCUGCGGCUCAACCGCAGCACUGCCUUCGAGACUGCCAGGCUUGAGCACGGUAGAGGCUGGUGGAAUUCCCGGUGUAGCGGUGGAAUGCGUAGAGAUCGGGAAGAACAUCGGUGGCGAAGGCGGCCAGCUGGGCCGUUGCUGACGCUGAGGCGCGACAGCGUGGGGAGCAAACAGGAUUAGAUACCCUGGUAGUCCACGCCGUAAACGAUGGGUACUAGGCGUCGGGGGGAGCGACCCCCUCGGUGCCGUCGCUAACGCAGUAAGUACCCCGCCUGGGGAGUACGGUCGCAAGACUGAAACUCAAAGGAAUUGA
rnacentral:rRNA from 1 species